rnacentral:rRNA from 1 species
GUUGAACGCUGGCGGCGUGCCUAAUACAUGCAAGUCGAGCGAACAAACGAGGAGCUUGCCUCUCUGACGUUACCGACGGGCGGGUGAGUAAUACGUGGCUACCUGAUCUUUAAGGCUGACAUAACUUCAGGAACCCGGAGCUCGUACCGGAUAUUAUGUUGAAACGCAUGGUUCAAUAGAGAACGACCGAUUUGAUGUCCCUUAUAGAUGGAUCCGCGCCGCAUUAGCUAGUUGGUAAGGUAACGGCUUACCAAGGCGACGAUGCGUAGCCGAUCUGAGAGGAUGAUCGGCCACACUGGAACUGAGACACGGUCCAGACUCCUACGGGAGGCAGCAGUAGGGAAUAUUGGGCAAUGGGCGAAAGCUUGACGGAGCAACGCCGCGUGAGUGAAGAAGGUCUUCGGAUCGUAAAACUCUGUUAGUAGGGAAGAACGAAAGUGUGAGAAACUAUGCAUGUCUUGACGUUACCAACUCAGAAAGCCACGGCUAACUACGUG